rnacentral:rRNA from 1 species
UACGUAGGGGGCUAGCGUUGUCCGGAUUUAUUGGGCGUAAAGAGCGUGUAGGCGGCCAUGUAGGUCCGGUGUGAAAACUCGAGGCUUAACCUCGAGAUGUCAUCGGAAACCAUUUGGCUAGAGUCCGGAAGAGGAGAGUGGAAUUCCUGGUGUAGCGGUGAAAUGCGCAGAUAUCAGGAAGAACACCAAUGGCGAAAGCAGCUCUCUGGGACGGUACUGACGCUGAGACGCGAAAGCGUGGGAGCGAACAGG